rnacentral:rRNA from 1 species
UACAGAGGUCUCAAGCGUUGUUCGGAUUCAUUGGGCGUAAAGCGUGCGUAGGCGGUUUGUUAAGUCCGUUGUGAAAGCCCUGGGCUCAACCUGGGAAUUGCAGUGGAUACUGGCGAGCUAGAGUGCGGUAGAGGAUGGUGGAAUUCCCGGUGUAGCGGUGAAAUGCGUAGAGAUCGGGAGGAACACCCGUGGCGAAGGCGGCCAUCUGGACCAGCACUGACGCUGAGGAGCGAAAGCCAGGGGAGCAAAGCGGG